rnacentral:misc_RNA from 1 species
AAGUCGUAACAAGGUUUCCGUAGGUGAACCUGCGGAAGGAUCAUUAACACAAUUUUACUGUGAUAAAAUCCGUUGAAUUCUCACGAAUUCAAUGGUAUCCACCCCAUUAUUGACGAACUUUUCUAGAUGUUUUCAAAAACAUAGAGCUUAGUCUUAUAGGUUUUUAAAACAUUCUAAACCUUUUUCUGUACCCACAAACAUUUAAACCCCUUUUACAACAUGUUUUAGACUGAAAUGAAAAAUUUCUAUCAAAAAAUUGAUAAAAACAACUUUUAACAACGGAUAUCUUGGCUCUC